rnacentral:rRNA from 1 species
AUUGAACGCUGGCGGCAUGCUUUACACAUGCAAGUCGAACGGUAACAGGGAGCUUGCUCCGCUGACGAGUGGCGAACGGGUGAGUAAUGCGUCGGAACGUGCCGAGUAGUGGGGGAUAACGCAUCGAAAGGUGUGCUAAUACCGCAUACGAACUGCGGUUGGAAGUGGGGGACCUUCGGGCCCUACGCUAUUCGAGCGGCCGGCGUCUGAUUAGCUAGUUGGUGAGGUAAAGGCUCACCAAGGCGACGGUCAGUAGCGGGUCUGAGGGGAUGAUCCGCCACACUGGGACUGAGACACGGCCCAGACUCCUACGGGAGGCAGCAGUGGGGAAUUUUGGACAAUGGGCGCAAGCCUGAUCCAGCCAUGCCGCGUGUCUGAAGAAGGCCUUCGGGUUGUAAAGGACUUUUGUCCGGGAGCAAAUGCUGGUGGCUAACAUCCACCGGAGCUGAGAGUACCGGAAGAAUAAGCACCGGCUAACUACGUGCCAGCCGCCGCCGUAAAAC